rnacentral:lncRNA from 1 species
UUCAAUUAUAUUUACUCGAGACACUAUUAUUCCUUUUUUUCCCUAUUCACUUCAAUUAUAUUUCCCUCUCUAUUUUUUUCUUUCCUGUUUUUCAGUUCCCCGCCGUUUGAAUAUCUGAUAACCAUCCCCACAAUUGUUAACAGUCAGAAUAAUAUGUCACCGCCGCAUUGCGGGCUACACCUCAAUUGUAUGUUUCAAACCCAAUCCCUAAAACAUGAAUCCCCAAUUUAUGUCUCUAAUUCAAGUCAAAUCCCCAAAUAUUUAUCCCCAAUUUGAGUUACAGAUACAGAGAGAGUGAGAGAGCAAUUUGAAGCAAUCGUAAUUCGGAAAUUGUCUAGUAUUGCCAAUCGAGCUACUAGAGCAAGAUAGAAGAAGCAAGGAAGGGGCUUUUGAUUGUUGGGACGUUGCACAGAGAGAGCAAUUCGGAGCAAUAGCAAUUCGAAAAUUGUCUAGUAUUGUCAAUCGAGCUACCGAAGCAAUCGCAAUUCGGAACCACCGUUUAGUUAAGUAAUAUGAUUAAAUUUCAGCAGAUUUUUGGUUUAUGUUUGGUGACUUUGGUAGAUGCGAAUUAUAGGAGGGAUGCUAGUUAGCCGAUGUUGAUAUUCUACUAUGAAUAUAUCUUCCAAGCAUGCGUAUUCAUAUAAUAUAAUAUCAUAUAUUAUUUUGAGUUGUGUUGUAUUUCAAUGGGGAAAUUGUCUAUAGUAUUAUUUUGAGUUAUUUUGUAUUUCAAUGGGGAAAUUGUCUACUGUGAUAUUUGUAAGUUCUCUUUUUCUCAUCAAAUUCAACAAAUUUUGCGAACAACGUUGCUAAGAAUUUUGACAAGUACGUAUACUACACCAACAUACAUAUAAAAGCUACAUAACCAAACAACCAAAACUAUAAAAAAAUUUACUACUUCAUUUGGCACAAUAAGAAAAUUCCAUGAAAUAUUACUCUCUUAAUCUGUUUUUGUAUUGCAAGUAAUAGAUAACAACCUGAAGGGAAUUAUGUCUUCAUAUUAUAAAUUUGGUUCACCAUAUUAUAAAUUAU